rnacentral:rRNA from 1 species
CCUACGGGGGGCUGCAGUAAGGAAUAUUGGUCAAUGGACGCAAGUCUGAACCAGCCAUGCCGCGUGAAGGAAGACGGCCCUACGGGUUGUAAACUUCUUUUGUACGGGAAACAAUCUCCGGUCGUGAAUCGGAGCUGAUGGUACCGUAAGAAUAAGCAUCGGCUAACUCCGUGCCAGCAGCCGCGGUAAUCCGGAGGAUGCAAGCGUUAUCCGGAUUCAUGGGGUUCAGAGGGAACGAUAAGUGAGUGAUGAAAUCCUACGGCUCAACUGUAGAACUGCCAUUGAUACUGUCGUUCUUGAGUACACUUGGAGUGGGCGGAAUGUGUCAUGUAGCGGUGAAAUGCUUAGAUAUGACACAGAACACCGAUCGCGAAGGCAGCUCACUAAAUUGUAACUGACGCUCAGGCACGAAAGCGUGGGGAUCAAACAGGAUUAGAUACCCCGGUAGUC